ACGCGAGACUAGUCGUCUUAUACGGGAACGUAGCACGAUAGCGCGAGAGGCUUUCAUCAUAAUUUGCAUCUUGCAUUUUUUUCUGUAGCGUUUGUAUCGACAUCGCCGUCUACUUCUACGUUGUCUUCAUCAUCAUCCAUGCGUGCAUGUCGAACAAAACUUUCAACGAGAUCUUCCAGCUUACUGUCAAUGACGUUUGUCUUUCUUUUCUACAUAACGGCAGUAUGCUUGCUAUAGCUGGGAGUUACUGUCUCAAACGCUGCCUGGACCAUGCAGUUGUUCCAGUUUUCAUUUGAAACAAGAAUUUGACAAGAGCUGCAUCGUUGCUGUUGCUGGUCUGAGCCAUCGUGACAAUUUCUAACACCAUUGCAGACUCGCCAUUCACUGAUGCAUGUACCGGUAUCACAGACGUGGAAACAGCCAAGUGCACAGCUUGGCAAACAAGCUGAUUGGUUGAUAGUGAUUUUUCUCACACAACAUGCAAGGCUCGAGGCCAGUUUUUGAGUACUGACCGACUUGACAUGUGGUUGGAGUAUAACUUACUGGCAGUACCCUCCAUGUGACUGAGCAAUCAGUGAAGUGAUGACAACGAAUGCAAACAAGGAAUGCAUUAGAACUCUCAUGGAUAUCAUCUUGUUACAAGAAACAAAGAAUGACGACUACGACAACAAUGAAACAGGCUACUAUCGCAGCCGGAGCCACAACCAGAACGACUGGAAAUGACUCCAGUUCGGUAUCGGCAACAAGCGGAGGACCUGGGAUCAAUACAGUGCACCGAGUCACAA